GAAGGGCUGUAGCUCAGUAGCAGAGCAUCUGGCUGACAUGCAGAAGGUCCCAGGUUCAUUCCCAGGCACCUUCA